rnacentral:lncRNA from 1 species
CAAAAUCCUAAAAUGUACAUUACUCAGGUACUGUUCAUCAGGUUAUGUAACUCAACUGGUAUCUUUAAUCCUCAUCUCCACCGCUUUAAUCGACUGAACCUUAUCUAAACACCUCUCAAAACGUGAAUCCUCGUCGCCCGUCGAUGCUUCCUCGAUCACCACCGGAGCACCAUCGAAGCAACUUACCACCACCGCAACAGUCAUCGCCUGUCUUCGUGGACCGACAACGAGACCACCACUUUUCUCAGCAAACGAACCCUAAACCUUACUUCACUGAAAAGAUUGACUAGGUUUUUUUUCUGUCUCUCACCACGUUCCAACUUCAUGUCAUUGAAAAGCUUGACUGUUUAAAUCCGACUGGCGAUCGUGAGAUAUCCAUCACCACCACUGUCUUCUAUUCACUGUUGUUGUAUUUCGUUCACAUCCUUACCGCUUUGUACAACCAAAUCUCCUUUUCGCUGCUCUUUUGACGUUUGUCUCUUAUUUGAUUUUAAAUUUUGAGGAUGCUGCUGCUAAUUUUAAUAGGUUUGGAUUAGGGUUAGCUUUAAUUCGAGUGUCAAUCAAUUGUCUGAAACUCAAUUCAUUUAUUUCAAUUUAUGAUUUCUGUGGUUUUUAUCUUUCAAUUUUGGGUAUUUAAAUUUUUGUUCUUGAAUCUUGGUGUAUAUAUACACUUUGCCUUCUCUUUUUAUUCCUACUAUGUUUCUUGGUGUUAUUACCAAUCUCAUACUUCCAUACCACCGUCAAUUCGUGAUUUGCAGGUAGAAUCAUCAAAGUGUUAUGUGUACCUUCUACUGAAAAAUCUUUUUCAAUUCCCUAAAAAAAUGUGAAAUUUUAAGUGGAGAAAUCAAAUUUUGGCCCAAGGGUUUGCCUUUCUUAAAUAUAUCUUGACUAAAAAUCCUUCAAGAAAUGAAGAAUAAACAUAUCAAUGGUUAAUCCUCCAAUGUUGUUUUCUGUCAUUCUUAUGUGCCCUGCUUAUGUGCCAAUUGUGUUGAUUGUAUCAGAAGAAACAAGUGUUUAUAUGUAUGUAAAGUAAUCUCCCUACUCUUGGAAUUUCUUUUGCUGAUGAAAUUUGCAAAACAAAUCACAUUAUAUGCUUUGGUUAUUCCAUUAAGUAGACCUUACUAUUUUUUGCUUUAUUUUUGCAUAAUAAGGUCAUUGGUUGAUGGUGUCUAUUUAUUUGUUACAUGUAUUGCCUUAUCGACUUAUUUUAUUUUGUUUCUGUCAUUUGUUGAUGGGAUAAUAAUGGCUAUAUGAAGUUAUUUGUGAAGUUGUAUAAGGAUUUUUCUGAGUUUCGGUAAGUGUCUAUUGAGUUCUGGCUUACAUCUAUCAUUUAGUUCUUGAGUUAAAAGCUCACCUGAUUAUAAUCUUUUAUGCAUACAGAUAUAUAUCUUUUUUCUAACUUUGUAAAUAAAUGCAGAUAAACAAGGACACCAAAGAUAAUCAAUAAUGCAAAGGGUCGUUUAGGACCAACAUGGAUUUGUGUAUCAACUAGGUGAGGAACAACUUCUAUUCUUACUCUUUCAUGUUUAUUUAUUAAAAUAACAUUCAUUUGUAACUUAAAAGUAUAGUUUUGAUGAUCGCAAAACAUUUUGUUCCAGGCCACUUAUAGCAAGGUAAAAAGGGCAGGCCACUUAUAGCAAGGUAAACAAGGUAUUAUAUCAUAAGUUGUAAAAGAUGGGAUAACAUGUAUCCUUUAAAUAUAGUUAUUUCUUGUAUUUGCCUAUUUCUUACUAGACAAGGGCACGACAAUUUUGAGACCAUUUGUAAAAAGUCAUGAGACAAACAUAGAAAGAAGUUUAAAGCAACUGAUGUCCAAAGCAAAGCACGAGGCAUGUUAUUCUUGGGACAACUCUACUGCAAUUGGUGAAACUAAAUUGUUUGAAAUAAUUUAGUACUAUGUCUUUAAGUCUUCAAGACCUGUGGUACAAUUUUUCUUUCUAUUAGUCAGAAUUUUGCAAAUGGCUCCAUUGCAAUGUUGGAAUCACGUAAUCCAUUUUGUGGCAAUGCUUACACAGAGAUAUCCUUAUGUAGCAUAAAUCCCUUAGCAAGUUAGAUUAUCCAUUUCAUUUAAACGGGGAUAAUUGGGUGGUAAUGAAUUCAUCUUUUACCAUUUUUGAUAAUGUAGAUUAUUCUCAUUGUAAACAGCUUUGGGAACAUAUCAACAAGCUAUACAACACUCAUUUGCGAAUUUCAUUAGCUGGGGUAUAGGAUACCAAUAUCUAAUGGCAGAAACAUGUUUCCAUAUUCAAAGGUUAGUUAUAACUUAUUACUCUGUAUCCCUUCAGGGUAUGUCUAAUUUCUCAUUUAUAUUUAAUCACUCUACUGAUAUACAUUUUCACCUCAAAGAUUACAAAAAGAAAUUCAUGAUUCACUAGGAAAAUCUCUAAAGAAUUGUGCAUUCAGUCUUCUUUUCGACAUUAGAAUCAAGUUUUACACAUAGGAAUUUAUAUUUUAGCCAAGAUUUACUUUACAGAAUGAGAAGCAAUUCUCUAAUUCUCUCUUCAAAAAAGGUAUCUUUCUCUUUAUUUUCUCACAUUGAUGUUAAACUAAAAAGAAAGUUAUUUAGACAUGGAUUUCAAAACAAAAGCUAAUUUACUUCUUUAUUUUGUCAUAUAUUUAAGAUAAUUAACAAAAAAAGGUUCUUUUUUAUUUACCAAUUUCGCCCUUGCUAACCUUAUAACCACUUCCGUUAUCAACACCAAGAUCUGUGGUAAAUGAGCUUUUCUUUUUUAAUCUGGUGCGUAGAUUAACUUUCUUACUUUUUUUCUUUUUGUUUUAUCUAGAGACAUUUUGCAGGUUGUUUCUUUUAUUAUAGGACAAAAGUUAUUUCUAUAUUUUUUUCUUGUCAGUCAUGGGCUAUAGGGGUCGAUCAAUGGCCAACAUAAGUAGAAAUUACCUGGUGAAAAUGCUUUAAGUUGUGUUUUGCUCCGUGAUGUGUUGCUUGAUUGUGAGUUACAAGAGCAUGCAUAAAAUAAAAAUGAAUGUGAUUCAUUGUUACUAUGCAAACAAUUUUUUUUAAUUAUCCAAUUGCAUUUAUACAAGUGUGAAAUAAUUUCAAUUGAGUCAUCCACUAUAUCACCAAUUACUAUCAACACAAUCAAUUAAAAAACAAACAUCAUUCCAACCAUGCAAAGCAUGGGUACCUACACUAGUUGAUGAUUAAGAUUUAGAGGCUAAGGAUAAAUUGGGUAUUUCAUUUUGAAAACUUCUCGGUUGUUGAUUGUUUAAAAAGAUGCAAUGUGCCAAUAAAUGAUUUUUAUUAGAAUAAUUAGAUGAGAUGAGAAGUAAGA